UACAGAGGUCUCAAGCGUUGUUCGGAUUCAUUGGGCGUAAAGGGUGCGUAGGUGGCGGGGCAAGUCUGGUGUGAAAUCCCGGGGCUCAACCCUGGAACUGCACUGGAUACUGCUUUGCUAGAGUACUGGAGAGGGAACUGGAAUUUACGGUGUAGCAGUGAAAUGCGUAGAUAUCGUAAGGAAGACCAGUGGCGAAGGCGACUUCCUGGCCUGUUCUUGACGCUGAGGCGCGAAAGCUAGGGGAGCGAACGGG
rnacentral:rRNA from 1 species